ensembl:snRNA U6 U6 spliceosomal RNA
UUGCUUUGGCAGCACAUACACUAAAAUUGGAAUGAUGCAGAGAAGAUUAGCAUGGCCCCUGCAUAAGGAUGACAUGCAAAUUCAUUCCAUGUUUUUUUUUUUU